UCGUCGCCCCGAAACACGACCGAGAACACGUAACGUAAAGCCUCCGGGGAGGGGCCUCCUCCCCGGACCCACCGGCCCCGGCCCCUCGGCCGGGCGCCGGAACACGGCGCGGACUGUCGCCAAGGAACACCGAAUCUGCCCCGGGCACGCCGCGACACGCGGCGCCGCCGAGGCCAAAGAAAC
rnacentral:misc_RNA from 1 species